rnacentral:rRNA from 1 species
UACGGAGGGUGCAAGCGUUAUCCGGAUUCACUGGGUUUAAAGGGUGCGUAGGUGGGAAUGUAAGUCAGUGGUGAAAUCUCCGUGCUUAACAUGGAAACUGCCAUUGAUACUAUGUUUCUUGAAUUUUCCGGAGGUAAGCGGAAUAUGUCAUGUAGCGGUGAAAUGCGUAGAUAUCGAGAGGAACACCUGCGGCGAAGGCGGGUUGCUGGGCCGACACUGACGCUGAUGCGCGAAAGCCAGGGGAGCGAACGGG